rnacentral:tRNA from 1 species
UGCGGGAUGGCGCAGUCAUGGAAGCGCGUUGGGCUCAUAACCCAAAUGUCCGGAGUUCGAAUCUCCGUCCCGCUCCCA